GACAAGUUCAGCCACAGUGUGGCAAUCACUAUUUAACCUGAUCGACCCCAAAUACCGUACCAUACCCAUCUCAAUUUAGAUCCUACAAUAUCUUCUCGUCGAGGUUCAAAGUAUGGUUCUUGAAGUGUGGUUUGCCGCUGCAGCAGCCUCAGCAAUGCCAUGGACCUUCUUGCUCGGGGGUCUCAUGGCCCUGCAGGUGCUUCUGUGGCAGGCCGGCCGGCUUCUGCGCCAGCUGUGGUGGCAGCCCCGGCGGCUGGAGCGGGCGCUGCGCGCACAGGGCAUCCGCGGCACGGCGUACCGCUUCCCCGCCGGCGACCUCAGGGAAUACGGCCGGCUGGCCAACAAGGAGGCAUGGUCGAAGCCCCUGCCGCCGCGCUGCCACGACAUCGCACACCGGGUGACGCCGUUCCUGCACCGGCUUGUCCUGGAGCACGGGAAGACGAGCAUGUCCUGGUUCGGCUCCACCCCCAGGGUGACCAUCGUCGACCCUGCGCUGGGCGCUGGCCAAGGACGUGCUGUCCAGCAAGUUCGGGCACUUGGAGAAGCUCAACUUCCCGGCGCUGGCCAAGGUGAUGGGCGACGGCCUGGCGAGCCACGAGGGUGCGAGAUGGGCCAAGCACAGGAGGAUCCUCGGCCCUGCGUUCCAGCUUGAGAAGCUCAAGCGCAUGCUGCCUGCGUUCUCUGCGUGCUGCCAAGAGCUGGUGAGUAGGUGGGCGGAGUGCCUCGGCCCGGACGGUUCCUGCGAGCUGGAUGUCUGGCCCGAGCUGCAGAACCUCACCGGAGACGUCAUUUCGCGCACCGCGUUCGGCAGCAGCUACCACCAAGGAAGAAGGAUUUUCCAGCUGCAGACCGAACAGGCUUCGCUUGUCAUGACGAACAUUCAAAACAUUGUAAUCCCCGGUUACAGGUACUUGCCUACCGCGAACAACAGAAAGCUGCGGAAGAACAACAGAGAGGUGGAAUCGAUUCUGCGAGGCAUAAUUGGGAAGAGAAUUCGAGCGAUGGAACGAGGCGAGAGCAGCGAAGACGACUUGCUGGGUGUAUUGCUGGAGACGACGAGCACGAGAGACGACGCUGACGACGACGGGAACAACAAUAGCCAGUCCACCGCCGGCAUGGGGCUGACGAUCCAAGACGUUAUCGAGGAGUGCAAGUUGUUCUAUUUCGCCGGGAUGGAGACCACGUCGGUGCUGCUCACGUGGACAAUGGUCGUGCUAAGCGCGCAUCCGGAGUGGCAGGACCGCGCGAGGGAGGAGGUGCUAGGUCUGUUUGGCAGAGACAAGCCCGAGCACCAUGGCCUAAGCCGCCUUAAGACCGUGACCAUGGUCCUGUACGAGGUUCUCCGGCUGUACCCGCCGGCGACCACUCUCGUCCGGCGAACGGACAAGGAGAUGGAGGUCGGAGGCGUCACCUACCCCGCCGGCGUGCUCCUGGACCUGCCCGUGCUCCUCAUCCACCACGACCCGGACAUCUGGGGAGACGACGCGCACGAGUUCAGGCCCGAGAGGUUCUCCGAGGGGGUCUCCAGGGCCUCCUCCAGGGACCCCGGCGCGUUCCUCCCGUUCGGCCGGGGGCCGCGCGUCUGCAUCGGCCAGAACUUCGCGCUGCUGGAGGCCAAGAUGGCGCUGUGCAUGAUCCUUCAGCGCUUCCAGUUCGAGCUCGCGCCGUCGUACGCUCACGCGCCGCAUACCGUGAUAACGUUGCAUCCCAUGCAUGGUGCGCAACUUAAGCUCAGAGCAAUAUGAUCUCGACACAAUGAUGAUGUCGAUCUCGCUGAUGGCAUUGCUAUGAUUAAAAUUCAAGGAGGCCUUCCCGUGUUAAUUUGGGUUGUACUAUGCUAUCAUGUAUCACUAGUACAAUGUUUCUGUGUUGUAAUGACACAUAAUUAUAUUUG